AUUGAACGCUGGCGGCAUGCCUUACACAUGCAAGUCGAACGGUAACAGGUCUUCGGAUGCUGACGAGUGGCGAACGGGUGAGUAAUACAUCGGAACGUGCCUAGUAGUGGGGGAUAACUACUCGAAAGAGUGGCUAAUACCGCAUGAUAUCUACGGAUGAAAGCAGGGGAUCGCAGGACCUUGUGCUACUAGAGCGGCCGAUGGCAGAGUAGGUAGUUGGUGGGAUAAAAGCUUACCAAGGCGACGAUCUGUAGCUGGUCUGAGAGGACGAUCAGCCACACUGGGACUGAGACACGGCCCAGACUCCUACGGGAGGCAGCAGUGGGGAAUUUUGGACAAUGGGCGAAAGCCUGAUCCAGCAAUGCCGCGUGCAGGAUGAAGGCCUUCGGGUUGUAAACUGCUUUUGUACGGAACGAAAAGCCCCGGGUUAAUACCCUGGGGUCAUGACGGUACCGUAAGAAUAAGCACCGGCUAACUACGUGCCAGCCGCCGCGGUAA
rnacentral:rRNA from 1 species